rnacentral:rRNA from 1 species
GUGGGGAAUCUUGCGCAAUGGGCGAAAGCCUGACGCAGCCAUGCCGCGUGAAUGAUGAAGGUCUUAGGAUUGUAAAAUUCUUUCACCGGGGACGAUAAUGACGGUACCCGGAGAAGAAGCCCCGGCUAACUUCGUGCCAGCAGCCGCGGUAAUACGAAGGGGGCUAGCGUUGCUCGGAAUUACUGGGCGUAAAGGGCGCGUAGGCGGACAGUUUAGUCAGAGGUGAAAGCCCAGGGCUCAACCUUGGAAUUGCCUUUGAUACUGGCUGUCUUGAGUACGUGAGAGGUGAGGGGAACUCCGAGUGUAGAGGUGAAAUUCGUAGAUAUUCGGAAGAACACCAGUGGCGAAGGCGACUCACUGGCCCGUUAAUGACGCUGAGGCGCGAAAGCGUGGGGAGCAAACAAGAUUAGAAACCCCUGUAGUCC